AGCAGUCGCCACGGUAAUACGAAGGGUGCAAGCGUUACUCGGAAUUACUGGGCGUAAAGCGUGCGUAGGUGGUGGUUUAAGUCCGUUGUGAAAGCCCUGGGCUCAACCUGGAAUUGCAGUGGAUACUGGAUCACUAGAGUGUGGUAGAGGAUAGUGGAAUUUCCGGUGUAGCAGUGAAAUGCGUGGAGAUCGGAAGGAACAUCUGUGGCGAAGGCGACUAUCUGGGCCAACACUGACACUGAGGCACGAAAGCGUGGGGAGCAAACAGGAUUUGAUACCCCAGUAGUCCCUGUCUCUUAUACC
rnacentral:rRNA from 1 species